GGAGGCCCUAUUGUGUCAGAGGGCGCCGCGUUUGUAUCGCGGCGUCCAGCCGCGGGUCAUCCCGCGACUCAUCGCCCCCUCCGCCA
rnacentral:tRNA from 1 species